GUAGGGAAUCUUCCACAAUGGGCGCAAGCCUGAUGGAGCAACACCGCGUGAGUGAAGAAGGGUUUCGGCUCGUAAAGCUCUGUUGUUAAAGAAGAACACGUAUGAGAGUAACUGUUCAUACGUUGACGGUAUUUAACCAGAAAGUCACGGCUAACUACGUGACAGCAGCCGCGGUAAUACGUAGGUGGCAAGCGUUAUCCGGAUUUAUUGGGCGUAAAGAGAGUGCAGGCGGUUGUCUAAGUCUGAUGUGAAAGCCUUCGGCUUAACCGUAGAAGUGCAUAGGAAACUGGAUAACUUGAGUGCAGACGAGAGUAGUGGAACUCCAUGUGUAGCGGUGGAAUGCGUAGAUAUAUGGAAGAACACCAGUGGCGAUGGUGGAUACCUGGUCUGCAACUGACGCUGAGACUCGAAAGCAUGCGUAGCGAACAGGAUUAGAUACCCUUGUAGUCC
rnacentral:rRNA from 1 species